UAGUGGCGAACGGGUGAGUAACACGUGGGCAAUCUGCCCUUCACUCUGGGACAAGCCCUGGAAACGGGGUCUAAUACCGGAUAACACUCUGUCCCGCAUGGGACGGGGUUGAAAGCUCCGGCGGUGAAGGAUGAGCCCGCGGCCUAUCAGCUUGUUGGUGGGGUGAUGGCCUACCAAGGCGACGACGGGUAGCCGGCCUGAGAGGGCGACCGGCCACACUGGGACUGAGACACGGCCCAGACUCCUACGGGAGGCAGCAGUGGGGAAUAUUGCACAAUGGGCGAAAGCCUGAUGCAGCGACGCCGCGUGAGGGAUGACGGCCUUCGGGUUGUAAACCUCUUUCAGCAGGGAAGAAGCGAGAGUGACGGUACCUGCAGAAGAAGCGCCGGCUAACUACGUGCCAGCAGCCGCGGUAAUACGUAGGGCGCAAGCGUUGUCCGGAAUUAUUGGGCGUAAAGAGCUCGUAGGCGGCUUGUUGCGUCGGUUGUGAAAGCCCGGGGCUUAACCC
rnacentral:rRNA from 1 species